rnacentral:rRNA from 1 species
CCCGCUGAACUUAAGCAUAUCAAUAAGCGGAGGAAAAGAAACCAACUGGGAUUCCCUUAGUAACGGCGAGUGAAGCGGGAACAGCUCAAUUUUGAAAUCUGCACUUUGUGCGAAUUGUAGUUUCAAGAAACGUUUUCUGAGACAGUCUGAAUUCAAGUGUGUUGGAAUGCGCCACCAAAGAGGGUGAGAGUCCCGUUGAAUUCGGAGCCUGUCUCUCUGUGAUACGUUUUCGAAGAGUCGGAUAGUUUGGGAAUGCUGUCCAAAAUGGGUGGUAAAUACCAUCUAAAGCUAAAUAUUGGCGAGAGACUCGAUAGCGAACAAGUACCGUGAGGGAAAGAUGAAAAGAACUUUGAAAAGAGAGUUAAAAGUACGUGAAAUUGUCAAAAGGGAAACGCUUGAAACCAGUAUUGCGUUGCAUAAAUCAGCCUUUCGGUGCAUUUUGUGUCGUGCGAGUCAGCAUCGGUUCGGUUUGGAGUACAAAGCUUUCGGAAGGUGACCCCUCGGGGUGUUAUAGCCGUUAGUAAUGCUCUGGUCUGGACCGAGGACUGCAGUCCUGCAUUGGGGAAAACUCCGCCUUUGACUGCCUGUUAGCAGACAACUUGUUGAUUGCGAGCAAGGUUGAUGAGCACGGUGUCGUACCUCUCUGGGCUUAGGAUGUUGACGAAAUGGUUUUAAACGACCCGUCUUGAAACACGG